CCUACGGGAGGCAGCAGUAGGGAAUUUUGCGCAAUGGGCGAAAGCCUGACGCAGCAACGCCGCGUGAUCGAGACGCCCCUCGGGGUUUAAAGAUCUGUCAGUGGGGACGAAACUUGACGGUACCCACAGAGGAAGCACCGGCUAACUACGUUCCAGAAGCCGUGGUAAUACGGGGGGUGCAAGCGUUGUCCGGAAUCAUUGGGCGUAAAGCGUUCGUAGGCGGCACGUAAAGUCUGGUGUUAAAGGCAGAGGCUCAACUUCUGUACUGCAGUGGAUACUUGCGAGCUAGAGUGCGGUAGAGGUAAAGGGAAUUCGUGGUGUAGCGGUGAAAUGCUUAGAUAUCAGGAAGAACAUCGAUGGCGUAGGCGCUUUACUGGGCCGUAAUUGACGCUGAGGAACGAAAGCGAGGGUAGCAAAUAGGAUUAGAUACCCGGGUAGUC
rnacentral:rRNA from 1 species